AUUGAACGCUGGCGGCAGGCCUAACACAUGCAAGUCGAGCGGCAGCGGGAAAGUAGCUUGCUACUUUUGCCGGCGAGCGGCGGACGGGUGAGUAAUGCCUGGGAAAUUGCCCAGUCGAGGGGGAUAACCGUUGGAAACGACUGCUAAUACCGCAUACGCCCUACGGGGGAAAGCAGGGGACCUUCGGGCCUUGCGCGAUUGGAUAUGCCCAGGUGGAUUAGCUAGUUGGUGAGGUAAUGGCUCACCAAGGCGACGAUCCCUAGCUGGUCUGAGAGGAUGAUCAGCCACACUGGAACUGAGACACGGGCCAGACUCCUACGGGAGGCAGCAGUGGGGAAUAUUGCACAAUGGGGGAAACCCUGAUGCAGCCAUGCCGCGUGUGUGAGGAAGGCCUUCGGGUUGUAAAGCACUUUCAGCGAGGAGGAAAGGUUGAUGCCUAAUACGUAUCAACUGUGACGUUACUCGCAGAAGAAGCACCGGCUAACUCCGUGCCAGCAGCCGCCGUAACAC
rnacentral:rRNA from 1 species